rnacentral:lncRNA from 1 species
CGGCUCCUUUCCUUAUAUGUCUAACCCUGGCCUGGAGCACUGGAGGAUGAGGUCCGCUGACUGCAGCGUCCAUCCUGGUCCUCCCCAGGCACUGUGGCCUCCCUCACAGCAUGGCUGCCUUGGGUACUCGGACUUCACGUGGAAGGCCAGGGCUCCGAGAGCAAAUGCCCCAGCAAGACAGAAGCUCAGCCGCCUUUGAUGACCUAGAAGCUAGGCAGCAUCCAUUGUACUGCCUUCUAUGGGUUGUGAGUGAGUCCCAAACCUGCCUUGACUCAAGGAAACGGAAUUAGGCUCUACGUCUUGACUAGGUAGUGGCGAAGUUCUGGAAGCACAUGAGUAGGAGAUACUGUGACGGUUUCAUCUUUGGAAAAUACCAUCUAGCACACCUGAAUCUGCUUUCAGGGGGUGUAAGGGGAUUUCCAUGGCAAAAUUUGAAGCCACAUGUGGUCACUGCUUUGUACUGAGGAAACAAAGUGCUCUGGGCAUCCAGAAAGGGGGUACGUUUUUUCUUACUGGGAUAAAUCUGGCUGCAUUUUAGCUAAUCCUGGAAAAUUGAUCGACAAAAGCAAAGGACCAAGAAAGCUGCUUAUAUCAGUGUCUCCUCCACCCUCAGCCUCCAGUAGCAUCCCUACGUUUUACAAUUUUAUUUAUGUCACUUUAAAUAAGGACAUUGAGAGGGAAAAGGCCUCAUCGACAUACCAACUACAGGCCAGGUGGACCUUCGGUGCACACACACCCCAGCGCCCACAGAGAUCCAGGCCUCCUGUGUAUGAAUGUGUGCCAUGAAUUUAGACCUAUUUCUCGCCUUCCGGGCUCUCUAUUCCUCAUCCUCCAUCCAAGUGGCCAUCUUGUGCAGAUGGACACAGCAGCAGCACAUAAGAGCACACGCGUGGGGCUCCAGCCCGGCCACGGGGAGACCUUUUCUCAGCAAAGGGCAGCACUGCUCGCUUUGCUGGGGCAGCCCUCCCAGGAAGAUCCCAGAAGAGAUGGUCUGAGGUGUGUGAACACUGUGAAUGUCAUGGACAAAGCUCAGCGUGGGACCCCAUGGGACUUCAGCAAUAGCAGUAGCAGCGGCAGUACACUGUCCAGUAUACACGUUUAUAAGGCCCUGAAAGCAGCAGAUCUCACCUGCAUUGGAGGAUGAGACGCCACAUGAAGAAGAAAGAAGACGCCACAGACAGCAGCGCAGUACCACCUUCCAGAGAUGUGAGUGUGACCGUCUUUGACCUUCUAGCCCAGCUGCUUUCCCUGAAUGCAAUGCAUGAGCAGGCCAGGCAAAACUAGAGAGGGAAGCUGCCCAGCUAACCCACAGAAUUAUGAGAGAUAAAAAAUCAUUGUCUUAAGCCACUAAGUCUGUUAUGCAGCAAUAUAUAGCAUUCAUUCAACUUUUGUCUCAUGAAUACUCUCAUUUCUUUUAUAAGUUCUUUUGUGGUUCAAAUUAGCUCAAAUCAGUUUCUGAUGCUUAUGACCAAAUGCCCCUAUGUGAUAGAUUUUGAGGGGUUAAGAAGCUUGCUCGGAUCACACAGCGGUAAGUAGCAGCACUUCAUCUUUAACCCACCUCUGGCCCACUCCCUUUCCAUAGGUCCUUGUUGCCUCCCUCCCUAAUCCCUUCCAGUCUAGUUUCCUCACUCAUUUUAGCAUCUUGAAGAUGCCUGACCUUUUGUAACAGGCACUUAGAAGAGGCAAUAAUCAAGCUGUGAGCUGGAAUACUGGGUUUCUCAUCCAAUAACCAGGUUGGCAGGUUGGUAACCAUACAAGGGACUUUUCAAACUGGAGAAUUAGUGUGCUGAGCACAAAGUGGUGAGUAUUUUGAGAGUUACUGAAAUAUAAUUGACAUAACAAUAAAAAUACAAUAUUUAAGUGCAUGUAUUUCAAGUGUACGAUUUGACAAGUUUGGUUAUAUUAUAUACACCUACGAAACCAUCACCACAAUUAAGAAAAUGAGCAUAGCUAUCACACACAAAAGUUUCCUUGUGCCCCUUGGUAAUUCCUCCCUCUCUCCUGCCCACAUCUCUCCUUUUCCCAGGCAAUCCCUGAUCUGAUUUCUGCCGCUAUCAAUUCGUUUGCAUUUCCUAGAAUUUUAAAUAACUGAAAACAUACAUUAAGAACUCUUUUUCUCUGGCCGAGUAUGGUGGCUCACGCCUGUAAUCCCAGCACUUUGGGUGGCCAAGGCGGGCAGAUCACCUGAGGUCAGGAGUUCGAGACCACCCUGGCCAACGUGGUGAAACCCUGUCUCUACUAAACAUACAAAAAUUAGCCAGGCAUGGUAAUGGGCAUCUGUAAUCCCAGCUACUCGCGAGGCUGAGGCAGGAGAAUUGCUUGAACCUGGGAGACAGAGGUUGCAGUGGGCUGAGAUCACGCCACUGCACUCCAGCAUGGACAACAGAGCGAGACUCCGUCCC